rnacentral:tRNA from 1 species
GCCCGAGUGGCGGAACGGCAGACGCGGCGGUCUCAAAAACCGUUGGGGCAACCUGUGCGAGUUCGAAUCUCGCCUCGGGCACCA